CAGUAGCCACGGUAAUACGUAGGUGGCAAGCGUUGUCCGGAAUUAUUGGGCGUAAAGGGCUCGCAGGCGGUUUCUUAAGUCUGAUGUGAAAGCCCCCGGCUCAACCGGGGAGGGUCAUUGGAAACUGGGAAACUUGAGUGCAGAAGAGGAGAGUGGAAUUCCACGUGUAGCGGUGAAAUGCGUAGAGAUGUGGAGGAACACCAGUGGCGAAGGCGACUCUCUGGUCUGUAACUGACGCUGAGGAGCGAAAGCGUGGGGAGCGAACAGGAUUAGAUACCCCCGUAGUCCCUGUCUCUUAUCC
rnacentral:rRNA from 1 species